rnacentral:rRNA from 1 species
GUCUCAGUUCGGAUUGGAGUCUGCAACCCGACUCCACGAAGUUGGAUUCGCUAGUAAUCGCGCAUCAGCCAUGGCGCGGUGAAUACGUUCCCGGGCCCUUGUACACACCGCCCGUCAAGCCAUGGGAGCCGGGGCGCCUGAAGUCCGGGACCGCGAGGACCGGCCUAGGGCGAAACUGGUAACUGGGGCUAAGUCGUAACAAGGUAGC